rnacentral:tRNA from 1 species
GGGAAGCGCGCAGGGCUCAUAACCCUGAGGUCGUAGGAUCGAAACCUACAGACGCUA